UCCUUAACAAAAGCACUGAAGCUGAGGAAGAGGAGCAAACAACUGCUAAUAAACCCCCAGGUGACAAAUCCCUGUUUAAGAACACCAACGUGGAGCAAGUGCUGAACAGACAGAAGCAAAAGAGGGACCAAGCUCGCGAGGAUGCUCAGAAGAAGAAAGAAACGGACAAGAUGCAGCGAGAGAAGGACAAACUGGCCAAACAAGACAGGAAAGAGAAGGAGAAGAAGCGCACACAGAAAGGCGAACGUAAAAGAUAAAACCAAGCGAAAGGACAUUUUGUUUGUGAGGUUUUGUUACAAGACAAAAAUAAAUGAGAAAAGUCAUCGCCUCUUUUUAGCUCAACCUCAUUGGCACCUUCAGUAUGUGAACAUGUCAUCAGAUCCUCUGUGUUAAUUACUUCCUGCCACUCUUCUUACAUGAAGAACAAUGUGCUGGAUGUCCAAAUCAUUUUUUAUCCAUUGGGAUACAAAUACAAGCAGAUGUAGGAUUGUAUGUUGAUGGAAAGUGGGGAACAUGCUUUGAUGUGGUUACCCCUGAAAUGAUCAAAUUAGAUGGUGAAAAUAGAGCGAAGUCCUUUUUCUGCUAUCAUCUUCUGUGCCAUUUUUUUAUGCAUUAAUUGCCUUUUAUUUCUGUACAACUUCACAGUAAAGGCACAUUUAUAUGCAUAGCUGCGUUUCGUCUGAGAAUUAUAACAAAGGAGCAGUUUGCUAAAUUGUACUGCAAACAUCUGAGUGUUUGAGGUUGAACAUUUUUAAAGUAAUAAAAA